UUCCCUAUCUCUCUUCUAAUUACUGCCAUGUCCCUCGAUGCAGUUCAUCACAGCAGGUUUGUUAAUGUCGGAGAAGAGAUUAUCUAACCAAUAAAUUUCAAGUUUGUACGUCUCAAGAUGACACUAAGCUAAAAGUUCCUUUAGUUUAGUGGUAUAAAUGUUGGUGUUUACAUCACAGUAACCCGGGUUCGAGCCACAGACU
rnacentral:lncRNA from 1 species